AUUGAACGCUGGCGGCAGGCCUAACACAUGCAAGUCGAACGAGUGGCGGACGGGUGAGUAAUGUCUGGGAAUCUGCCUGAUGGAGGGGGAUAACUACUGGAAACUGUAGCUAAUACCGCCUACCAUUGUAUCGGCCAAGAUGGGAUUGGCUAGUUGGUGGGGUAAAGGCUAACCUAGGCGACGAUCCCUAGCUGGUCUGAGAGGAUGACCAUCCACACUGGGACUGAGACACGGUCCAGACUCCUACGGGAGGCAGCAGGGGGGAAUAUUGCACAAUGGGCGCAAGCCUGAUGCAGCCAUGCCGCGUGUAUGAAGAAGGCCUUCGGGUUGUAAAGUACUUUCAGCGGGGAGGCGUUACCGGCAGAAGAAGCACCGGCUAACUCCGUGCCAGCAGCCGCGGUAAUUC
rnacentral:rRNA from 1 species